GUGGAAACAGGUGCUAAUACCGUAUAACAGAGAAAACCGCGUGGUUUUCUUUUAAAAGAUGGCUCUGCUAUCACUUCUGGAUGGACCCGCGGCGCAUUAGCUAGUUGGUGAGGUAACGGCUCACCAAGGCGAUGAUGCGUAGCCGACGUGAGAGGGUAAUCGGCCACAUUGGGAGUGAGACACGGCCCAGACUCCUACGGGAGGCAGCAGUAGGGAAUCUUCCACAAUGGACGCAAGUCUGAUGGAGCAACGCCGCGUGAGAGAAGAAGGGUUUCGGCUCGUAAAGCUCUGUUAUAAAGAAGAACGUGGGUGAGAGUAACUCUUCACCCAGUGACGGUAUUUAACCAGAAAGCCACGGCUAACUA
rnacentral:rRNA from 1 species